rnacentral:rRNA from 1 species
GACGAACGCUGGCGGCGUGCUUAACACAUGCAAGUCGAGCGGUAAGGCCCUUUCGGGGGUACGACGAGCGGCGAACGGGUGAGUAACACGUGGGUGACCUGCCCUCAGCUCUGGGAUAAGCCUGGGAAACUGGGUCUAAUACUGGAUAUGACUCCACGGUGCAUGUCGUGGGGUGGAAAGCCUUGUGCGGCUGAGGAUGGGCCCGCGGCCUAUCAGCUUGUUGGUGGGGUGANGGCCUACCAAGGCGACGACGGGUAGCCGGCCUGAGAGGGCGACCGGCCACACUGGGACUGAGACACGGCCCAGACUCCUACGGGAGGCGGGCAGUGGGGAAUCUUGCGCAAUGGGCGAAAGCCUGACGCAGCGACGCCGCGUGAGGGAUGACGGCCU